rnacentral:rRNA from 1 species
CCUACGGGAGGCAGCAGUGGGGAAUAUUGCACAAUGGGGGGAACCCUGAUGCAGCGACGCCGCGUGAGUGAAGAAGUAUUUCGGUAUGUAAAGCUCUAUCAGCAGGGAAGAAAAUGACGGUACCUGACUAAGAAGCCCCGGCUAACUACGUGCCAGCAGCCGCGGUAAUACGUAGGGGGCAAGCGUUAUCCGGAUUUACUGGGUGUAAAGGGAGCGUAGACGGUUAUGCAAGUCUGAAGUGAAAGCCCAAGGCUCAACCAUGGGACUGCUUUGGAAACUGUAAAACUGGAGUGUGUGAGAGGAUAGUGGAAUUCCAGGUGUAGGAGUGAAAUCCGUAGAUAUCUGGAGGAACAUCAGUGGCGAAGGCGACUAUCUGGCACAUAACUGACGCUGAGGAGCGAAAGCGUGGGUAGCAAACAGGAUUAGAUACCCUUGUAGUC